GGGGUUGUGGCUCAGUGGUAGAGCACUCACCUAGCACAUGUGAGAGCCUGGGUUUGAUCCUCAGCACUACA
rnacentral:tRNA from 1 species